rnacentral:rRNA from 1 species
UACGUAGGGGGCGAGCGUUGUCCGGAUUCAUUGGGCGUAAAGCGCUUUAAGGCGGUUCGGUAAGUCGGGUGUGAAACCUCCAGGCUCAACCUGGAGACGCCACUCGAUACUGCUGUGACUAGAGUUCGGUAGGGGAUCACGGAAUUCCUGGUGUAGCGGUGAAAUGCGCAGAUAUCAGGAGGAACACCGGUGGCGAAGGCGGUGAUCUGGGCCGAUACUGACGCUGAGGAGCGAAAGCGUGGGGAGCGAACAGG